CCUACGGGAGGCAGCAGUGGGGAAUUUUGGGACAAUGGGGGCAACCCUGGAUCCAGCAAAUGCCGCGUGUGUGAAGAAGGCCUUCGGGUUGUAAAGCACUUUUGUCCGGAAAGAAAUCGCGCUGGUUAAUACCUGGCGUGGAUGACGGUACCGGAAGAAUAAGCACCGGCUAACUACGUGCCAGCAGCCGCGGUAAUACGUAGGGUGCGAGCGUUAAUCGGAAUUACUGGGCGUAAAGCGUGCGCAGGCGGUUUUGUAAGACAGGCGUGAAAUCCCCGGGCUUAACCUGGGAAUUGCGCUUGUGACUGCAAGGCUAGAGUGCGUCAGAGGGGGGUAGAAUUCCACGUGUAGCAGUGAAAUGCGUAGAGAUGUGGAGGAAUACCGAUGGCGAAGGCAGCCCCCUGGGACGUGACUGACGCUCAUGCACGAAAGCGUGGGGAGCAAACAGGAUUAGAUACCCUGGUAGUCCACGCCCUAAACGAUGUCAACUAGUUGUUGGGGAUUCAUUUUCUCAGUAACGUAGCUAACGCGUGAAGUUGACCGCCUGGGGAGUACGGUCGCAAGAUUAAAACUCAAAGGAAUUGACGGGGACCCGCACAAGCGGUGGAUGAUGUGGAUUAAUUCGGUGCAACGCGAAGAACCUUAC
rnacentral:rRNA from 1 species